GUACUGGGGUGUAUAUCGUGCGCGACUUUCUGCCGUAAGGCAGAUCGAAACUUGGCCAUAUGCUGGAAAGCUGUUUAGAGCUGCGCCAAGCACCCUUGAAAAGGUGCUCGGUCCUUAACAGUCAAUCAGCAGGGAAGAUUUGCAUUUUGAAAAAUGGGCGGAUUGGGGACAUGGCGUACCGACAAACCCGUAGUAUCGAGAGGACGCUCUCGGUUAGACGACUGUACGGCGGGACGUAUGUGUCAGAGUUCUACCGAUUCGUUUCAUUAGGGAGGUUCGACUUUCUUCGUCGCUUGAACCUCCCGCCCAUUUUUCAAAAUGCAAGAACCCUCAGAGACUACACGCUAAGCUCCAGCCGUAAUUUGAAAAAUUACAACUGGAUGAAGAUAUAGUCCGAUCCCGGUGGUGACAUCGGA
rnacentral:ncRNA from 1 species